GGAAGGGCAGAGGAAAACCGCUGAGGGGAAAAUGCCGGUUAAAAAGACAGACCACCACCCCCUGCUGUCCACCGGAGCUGGGGGAGCUGAGCCUGAGCGAGGUCCUUGUAACCUGUCUGCCACAGGUUUGUUACAGAACUGGACAGUUUGACUCCUGAAGCAGACCAAUGGGACCACACAAGCCUGAGUUUCUGAACUUCGGGUAAAAGGAUGGGUUCAAAGGUGUGGAGUGGAAUCCUUGUUUCCUGAGUAGCCCUGGAAAUUAUCUCAUCGCCCUAUUUAAAAUUUAUUUGUGUUGCUUUUGUGAUCCAUACACAUAUCUCAGUGAUCAACAUAAAUAUUUUGCUGCACAUAUUUGAACUUCCAGCCAGUUUACUGGAAAAAUGUCAUCAGAGCUAAUGUCCCUGUUCCCUGAGGAAUGUAAAUUCUGCAGUUAGGUUUCUAAAGCAAAUCACAAAUGUUCAUUCUAGCCACUUCACAGAACUGUUCUGCAGGAUUUGGGUAGAAUUUACCCUGAAGCAGAAAAGCUUUUCCAUAAAAAGUUCACUGUGCUGUUUGCUGUGAAGACCAAGCAUGAUCAAGAUGGAGAAGUGGGGUUGAUGUUCUGGAAACAGUGAAUGAGAAUUUGCUGAAAAAUUACAGCAAUUUUCCUGAAACCACAGAUACCGUGGAAUCAUGGAGUGGUUUUGGUUGGAAGGGACCUUUAAGGAUCAUCAAGUUCCAACCCCCUACCAUGGGCAGGGACACCUGCUACUGUCCCAGGUUGCUCAGAGCCACAUCCAGCCUGGCCUUGGACACUUCCAGGGAUGGGGCAGUCACAGCUUCUAGGGAAUUGAUUUCCAAAUGCCAACUGCAAUAGGCAUUGAACAAUAAAUAACAGUGACAAUAAUUGCUGUUAAUAUUAGUCCAACUAAUAUAAUUACACAGGAUUUUUUUUUUUAAUUGUUU